rnacentral:rRNA from 1 species
UACGUAGGGGGCAAGCGUUGUCCGGAUUUAUUGGGCGUAAAGAGCGUGUAGGCGGCCAGAUAGGUCCGUUGUGAAAACUCGAGGCUCAACCUCGAGACGCCGAUGGAAACCAUCUGGCUAGAGUCCGGAAGAGGAGAGUGGAAUUCCUGGUGUAGCGGUGAAAUGCGCAGAUAUCAGGAAGAACACCAAUAGCGAAGGCAGCUCGCUGGGACGUUACUGACACUAAGGCGCGAAAGCGUGGGGAGCGAACGAGG